UACGUAGGUCCCGAGCGUUGUCCGGAUUUAUUGGGUGUAAAGCGAGCGCAGGUGGUUUAUUAAGUCUGGUGUGAAAGGCAGUGGCUCAACCAUUGUAUGCAUUGGAAACUGGUAGACUUGAGUGCAGGAGAGGAGAGUGGAAUUCCAUGUGUAGCGGUGAAAUGCGUAGAUAUAUGGAGGAACACCGGUGGCGAAAGCGGCUCUCUGGCCUGUAACUGACACUGAGGCUCGAAAGCGUGGGGAGCAAACAGG
rnacentral:rRNA from 1 species